CGGAGAGGGAGCAUGAGAAACGGCUACCACUUCUAAGGAAGGCAGCAGGCGCGCAAAUUACCCAAUCCUGACUCAGGGAGGUAGUGACAAGAAAUAACAAUAAACCGGCUUAUGCCGGUUUAAUUGGAAUGAGUACAAUUUAAACAUCUUAACGAGGAACAAUUGGAGGGCAAGUCUGGUGCCAGCAGCCGCGGUAAUUCCAGCUCCAAUAGCGUAUACUAAAGUUGUUGCAGUUAAAAAGCUCGUAGUUGGAUUUCUGCGGGGACGGAGCGGCCGGUCGCAAUUUGCGACUCGAGCUAGCGCUUUCCCCGCAUCCUGCCGCGAACCGUGCUACCAUUAGUUUGGUGGCGCUGGGGAUCGGCUCGAUUACUUUGAGAAAAAUAGAGUGUUCAAAGCAGGCCACACGCCUUGAAUAAGUUAGCAUGGAAUAAUGACUAAGGACUUUGGUUCUUUUCGUUGGUGUUCGGGACUGGAGUAAUGAUUGAUAGGGACAGUUGGGGCGGUCCGUAUUCCAAAGCGAGAGGUGAAAUUCUUAGACCUUCGGAAGACGAACAGCUGCGAAAGCGUUCCGCAAGGAUGUUCCCUUUGAUCAAGAACGAAAGUUGGGGGAUCGAAGACGAUCAGAUACCGUCGUAGUCUCAACUAUAAACUAUACCAGCUAGGGAUCGGCCAACGUUUAAUUUAUCGACUUGGUCGGCACCUUAUGAGAAAUCAAAGCAUCUGGGUUCCGGGGGGAGUAUGGUCGCAAGGCUGAAACUUAAAGGAAUUGACGGAAGGGCACCACCAGCCGUGGAGCCUGUGGCUUAAUUUGACUCAACACGGGAAAACUUACCAGGUCCAGACAUAGGAAGGAUUGACAGAUUGAUAGCUCUUUCUUGAUUCUGUGGGUGGUGGUGCAUGGCCGUUUUCAGUCGGUGGAUGUGAUCUGUCUGCUUAAUUGCGUUAACGGACGAGACCCCAGCCUGCUAAAUAGCGCGGCCGAGCUUUGCUCGGUGCGAGCUUCUUAGAGGGACCAUGAUGCGCGAUAGCACAAGGAAGUUUGGGGCAACAACAGGUCUGUGAUGCCCUUAGAUGUUCUGGGCCGCACACGGGCUACACUGGCGCCUGCAACGAGCAUAUCAGCUGGCCCGAGAGGGUCUUGGCUAAUCUUUGGAACCGGCGCCGUGCUUGGGAUUGACCAUUGCAAUUGUUGGUCAUGCAACGAGGAAUGCCUUGUAAACGCGAGUCAUCAGCUCGCAUUGAAUACGUCCCUGCCCUUUGUACACACCGCCCGUCGCUCCUACCGAUGAAUGUUCCGAUGAAAUUUUCGGAGAGCACCAGAGAACGGGGCUCCGCCUUGCAGAUCUGGAGGCUCAAAGUCACUUAAAUCUGAACAUUUCGAGGAAGGAGAAGUCGUAACAAGGUAACC
rnacentral:rRNA from 1 species